rnacentral:rRNA from 1 species
AAGUGAGAAUGCCGGUGUGAGUAGCGAAAGACGGGUGAGAAUCCCGUCCACCGAUUGACUAAGGUUUCCAGAGGAAGGCUCGUCCGCUCUGGGUUAGUCGGGUCCUAAGCUGAGGCCGACAGGCGUAGGCGAUGGAUAACAGGUUGAUAUUCCUGUACCACCUAUAAUCGUUUUAAUCGAUGGGGGGACGCAGUAGGAUAGGCGAAGCGUGCGAUUGGAUUGCACGUCUAAGCAGUAAGGCUGAGUAUUAGGCAAAUCCGGUACUCGUUAAGGCUGAGCUGUGAUGGGGAGAAGACAUUGUGUCUUCGAGUCGUUGAUUUCACACUGCCGAGAAAAGCCUCUAGAUAGAAAAUAGGUGCCCGUACCGCAAACCGACACAGGUAGUCAAGAUGAGAAUUCUAAGGUGAGCGAGCGAACUCUCGUUA